UACGUAGGGGGCUAGCGUUGUCCGGAAUUAUUGGGCGUAAAGAGCUCGUAGGCGGUCUGUUGCGUCGGCUGUGAAAACCCGGGGCUCAACUCCGGGCCUGCAGCCGAUACGGGCAGACUAGAGUUCGGCAGGGGAGACUGGAAUUCCUGGUGUAGCGGUGAAAUGCGCAGAUAUCAGGAAGAACACCCGUGGCGAAGGCGGUUCUCUGGGACGGUACUGACGCUGAGACGCGAAAGCGUGGGGGAGCGAACAGG
rnacentral:rRNA from 1 species